UGUUAGUGGCAGACGGGUGAGUAAUGCGUAGGAAUCUACCUAGUAGUACGGAAUAGCCAUUAGAAAUGGUGGGUAAUACUGUAUAAUCCCCGAGGGGGAAAGAUUUAUCGCUAUUAGAUGAGCCUACGUUAGAUUAGCUAGUUGGUGAGGUAAUGGCUUACCAAGGCUAUGAUCUAUAGCUGGUCUGAGAGGACGAUCAGCCACACUGGAACUGAGAUACGGUCCAGACUCCUACGGGAGGCAGCAGUGGGGAAUAUUGGACAAUGGGCGAAAGCCUGAUCCAGCUAUGCCGCGUGAG
rnacentral:rRNA from 1 species